rnacentral:rRNA from 1 species
UACGGGGGGGGCAAGCGUUGUCCGGAAUUAUUGGGCGUAAAGAGCUCGUAGGCGGUCUGUCGCGUCGAUCGUGAAAACUUGGGGCUUAACCCUGAGCUUGCGGUCGAUACGGGCAUGACUGGAGUUCGGCAGGGGAGACUGGAAUUCCUGGUGUAGCGGUGAAAUGCGCAGAUAUCAGGAGGAACACCGGUGGCGAAGGCGGGUCUCUGGGCCGAUACUGACGCUGAGGAGCGAAAGCGUGGGGAGCGAACAGG